CCCUGCACUUGGCCGCCGCAGUGCAUUCUGGGCCUCCAGGGGCCCGGCCGGGAGGCACGUGGUGGCGGCGAUCCUCCCGGCAGGGCGGGCGGCCUGUCCCUCCGAAGCAGGCGCUCCGCCAGCCCUUGCCCGGACCUCGGGCCCUUCCAGAGCCCGGGGUCCAUGCUGGUCCUACUUGGAAACCUUCCCCGACAACCAACCAUCCGACCAACCCCACCCACUCACCUCGGCCUUUCUGGAGGCCACCUACCGGGUUAGACGGGUGUGACCAAGCCACCACCAUCUCUCCCUCCUCUGCAUGUCUAUGGCUGUGCCUGAAUCGAUCGCUGUCUCACACGUGGUGGGUGAUCAGUAAAUAAUUAUUAGCUGGGUGGGUGACCACUGAAGAAUAUGCAAAGGGGGAUUGAAAUAUCAGAAAUUGAGAAGCUUGCCCUGACCAGCUAGCUCAGUUGGUUAGAGCGACAUCCUGAUACACCAGAGUUGUGGGUUCAAUCCCUGGUCAGGGCACAUACGAGAAACAACCAACGGAUGCAUAAAGAAGUGGAGCAGCGCCCUGGCCGGUGUGGCUCGGUGGACAGAGCAUCAGCUUGGGGACUGAAGGGUCCCAGGUUCGAUUCCGGUCAAGGGCACAGGCCU